rnacentral:rRNA from 1 species
GACGGGGGCCCGCACAAGCAGCGGAGCAUGUGGUUUAAUUCGAAGCAACGCGAAGAACCUUACCAGGUCUUGACAUCCAUCUAAAGCAGAAGAGAUUCUGUGUGAGCUUGCUCGAGAUGAGACAGGUGGUGCAUGGUUGUCGUCAGCUCGUGUCGUGAGAUGCUGGGUUAAGUCCCGCAACGAGCGCAACCCUUAUCGUCCGUUACUAACAGGCAAAGCUGAGGACUCAGACGAGACCGCCGGGGACAACUCGGAGGAAGGUGGGGACGACGUCAAAUCAUCAUGCCCCUUACGACCUGGGCUACACACGUGCUACAAUGGGUACAACAAAGAGAAGCGAAGCCGCAAGGCGGAGCAAAACUCAGAAAAGUACUCUCAGUUCGGAUUGUGGGCUGCAACCCGCCCACAUGAAGUUGGAGUUGCUAGUAAUCGCGGAUCAGCAUGCCGCGGUGAAUACGUUCCCGGGCCUUGUACACACCGCCCGUCACACCAUGGGAGUUGAGAGCGCCCGAAGCCAGUGAGCUAACCGCAAGGAGGCAGCUGUCGAAGGUGAGAUCAAUGACUGGGGUGAAGUCGUAACAAGGUAGCCGUUCGGAA